CCGCAAACGAGAAGAAAAGAAAGAAAAACAGCGGCAGAGAUUAGUGAAUCAGAAAUUCUGAUGAUCGCUAUGGUGUUCGAUUAAAGAGUUGAUGGUUGUGUAAAAGAGUUAUUGAUAUGGGUUUGUCGAGAUUAGAGUUAUUGAGAACUGAGGUUGAUGAUUAAGUUAUGGAUUAAUUGAAGAUGGGGGUUUGAGAGCUCUUGAAUGAUGAUAAGAGUUGGGUUGAGCUCGAUUUGCAACCAGAUAAAGAAAUCAAGUAGAUUUCAGUCUGGAAUUGAUGAAGAUGUUAGGGUUUGUGAUGGAAUUUAGGGUUCAGUCUGGAAUUGAUGAAGAAAUUGAGUUCAAAGAGGUAAUGGAGAAUAGCUAUGAGCUGCUGUAGAUGGUGUUUCAGGUGCAGGUAAUGGACAAGCUUAAUGUGUACAUAUACGCAUGCCUUUUGAGGUACACCAAAUCAAGGGUUAGUGCAUCGCGACGGGGCGGGACAAAGCCGCGCCACACCAAAUCAGGGCUUAAUGCACAGCGACAGGGCGGGGUGCGCCUCGCCACACCUUUUAGAGAUGACAUCAUGGAGUCUGCAGUCAAGGUUUAGUUGCAUCGAGUCGGGGACGCCCGUAGCACCUCAGUUACAUGCCAGUUUUGGUAAAAUAAAAGUUAGUAGGAGGGUUUGCAACUGGUUCUUAUGGAGGAAUGUUCGCUCAAAAUCAAAACCCCUUUGGUGGUUUUUCAGGGUAUGCAUUGCCAUGUGCUCCAUCUGAAACGAACAAAAGGAGCAGAGUUACACCAUGUCAUGGGAAUGAUUGGAGUCACGUCGAUGAUGAGGAUGAAGAGAAAAAUUAUCAUAAGAAUAGAUCAUGCAGAUAGAGGCCUAUAUUCUAUAUAACACUUUGGUUAUCUUCACAUCUCAUCAAUGCGGAAACAACUACUUAGCUUAAAAUUUAAAUCCUCAAAUUAUAUUGGAGUUGUUCUAAUGAGAUCGACAACAAGGAGUACCACCACUUCAUCGCUGCCAGGUUGAAAAGUACCACCUAAUGAAUGAUGAUAUUUUGGGAAAAGCGAUACCAAGGUUACAAAUUGGGGUCAUUGGUGCACUAGAACUUGCAACUACAUCUUCUGUUCUGUUGUAAUCCAC